CCUACGGGGGGCAGCAGUGAGGAAUAUUGGGCAAUGGACGAGAGUCGGAACCAGCCAAGUAGCGUGAAGGAGGACAGCCCGAUGGGUUGUAAACGGCUGUUAUAUGGGAAUAAAAUGUACCACGUGUGGGAUUUUGUAUGUACCAUAUGAAUAAGGAUCGGCUAACUCCGUGCCAGCAGCCGCGGUAAUACGGAGGAUCCGAGCGUUAUCCGGAGUUAUUGGGUUUAAAGGGCGCGUAGGUGGAUUGUUAAGUCAGUUGUGAAAGUUUGCGGCUCAACCGUAAAAUUGCAGUUGAAACUGGCAGUCUUGAGUACAGUAGAGGUGGGCGGAAUUCGUGGUGUAGCGG
rnacentral:rRNA from 1 species